rnacentral:rRNA from 1 species
AAUAUUGGACAAUGGGGGCAACCCUGAUCCAGCCACGCCGCGUGUGUGAAGAAGGUCUUCGGAUUGUAAAGCACUUUAAGUUGGGAGGAAGGGCUUUAGUUUAUUACUCGGAAGUUUUGACGUUACUAACAGAAUAAGCACCGGCUAACUCGGUGCCAGCAGCCGCGGUAAUACAGAAGGUGCAAGCGUUAAUCGGAAUUACUGGGCGUAAAGCGCGCGUAGGUGGUUCAGUAAGCUGGGUGUGAAAUCCCCGGGCUUAACCUGGGAACUGCUUUCAUAACUGCUGAGCUAGAGUGCGGUAGAGGGUAGCGGAAUUUCCUGUGUAGCGGUGAAAUGCGUAGAUAUAGGAAGGAACACCAGUGGCGAAGGCGACUACCUGGACUGAUACUGACACUGAGGUGCGAAAGCGUGGGGAGCAAAC